UCCUACAAAGUAGUUACAAAUUAAGCAAUUGGGCAUUUAAAUUUGAUGCUUAAUGAGAUGGCUUAUUUUAAUUUCUAUUAAUUUUCACUAGCAUGGUAGUGUGCUGAAGAAGUAAGAUCAUUCCAUUCCAUAUCAUGUUUUCUUCUCUCGAUUUAGUCCAUGGUGUGAAUAAUAUCUGAUGAACUGAGAAGACUUGAUUUGCAUUGCUUGUUUUCCAGUCUACCUGGAAAAAGCAGCAAGGUGACCUGCUCGUGUGCGCAGGAUGAUCAUGGAGAGCUCCCGGCAGACAGGCUGCUGCUCUCAGUUCCAGGAUGCAAAGAAGAAGACAAUAGAUUUUGGGUUUCUUGAAGAAAGAAGGCUGGCUGGAAAGAAAAAUCCAUCCAUUUUAAGAUGUGAUGCAGUGUGGUGGAUGCUAUGACAGACAGAUGAGGAAGCCAAAAUUCAGAAGAAUAUACAAGUUGCUUAAUCCCCAGUCAUGCAGCUACCAUAUGGCAACAGUGGCUUUUGAGGUCACUCUGAUCCAAGAAAAUUUGAGGACACUCCACCCACAAUAACAUGUCAUCGAAUAUAAUGCAAUUGCUAAAUGGCUCCCACCCUCCUUUCAACUCUGCUUUUUGGCAGAUGGGCUCAUUACAGUACUUAUCUUUUGGGGAAGAGCUAGGAAAUGACUUCCUACUGAUCAGUUGACACUUGGUCAGUUCAUUAGUCAGUUGUCUACACAUCAAAUAAAUAAAAAUGCUUGAAAGUUUUUAAAUAUUAAAACAUUUUAAAGUAUUAGUUUCUAAAUAACCUUUCAUUAUCCUAACUCUGUAAGUUGCAGCAUUAAAAUUUUUAAACCAUGCUUAUUCCACUAUGGUGUAGCUUAUUGCACUUAAAAAAAUUGUCACCUGAGGUUUCCUUUAGAAUUUAAGUCCUUCCGUAUCUUCCUUCCUUUCUUCCCUCCUUUGUUUCCUUUCUUCGUUCAUUCACUAAAACUUCAUUGCAUCUCCUGCACUGUCCUUAAGGAACUCAGUGGAAUGGGGAUUUGGAGGAGAGUCUUAGCCAGUUUUUUAGGGUUGCAUAGCACAGAGGGCUGUUAAAUACCAACAAUUCUUCCCUCCUGAGAAUAGAACACUAACCUUUAAGCUCAUUUUCAAAUAAAAAAUCCCAUUUCUCGAAGAGUAGCCUGCCCUAAAUGAGUCACUUGUUUUUUGCCCCUUUAUUAUCACAAUAAAACAAAAUUCAUGAAUCACUUGAGUGUUUUGCUGUCACCUCAAGCUGUCAUCUACUCAUCUGGGCCACUUCCCUAAACGUUCUGAGGUCUUUGACACCUGGAAUCCCUAUCCCAGCCAUUCUCUUUGGGGAGCCUUAGUGAUCACAUGGCUGAUCCUUCCAGUGUUCCUUCUCUUGGAGACCUCCUCAGGUCCAGUGAUCCUCUCACCAUCUCCAUUUCAGCUUUUCUGGCCCCACUUUGGAUUACGCUGUCCAGCAAGGCUGCUUCACUCAUGAAGUCUUCAUGGCCGACACCCUCUGUGAUUGCAGCUUCUGACCUCCCUGCCCCAUCACUUCUUCAUUCUGCCAGCUCUUGGAUCUCACUGGGUCCUUCAAGUCCUUCCGCUUCAAGUGUUUCAGUCCUCUUUUGAUUUCACUUUCUUUCCUGGGCAACAUAGACCUUACUGUGUAUCCAUCUGGUGUGUGUUGUGUGUUAGCAUGUAUGCUCUAUCUAUUCUAUUUCAGAUUAUCUGUUUUUACUGAUACAAAAUGUAUAUGCAGUAAAAUGCACAUAUCUUAGAUGUAAAACCUGAAAAAUUUUUGUAUAUGUAUCUAUCACCUAUGUAACCACCACCCAGAUCAAAUAAAGAGCGUUUCCAUUACCCCAUAGAAUUCUGUCCACCUCCUUUCCA